UAUAACUUGUCAGGAUGUCACAGCCUUCUGAGUUCUACUGUUAAAUCUGUACUUCAUAUACAUUGUCUGGAUACCUAACCCUAGGAUUUGACUUUACAUUGAGUUGCAGGCACUUAAAAUUUUGCUUGCUGCAGCUAGCUAAAAACUGUUUUAUUGAAGAGCAUCCAUCAACACUAUGUAAAGCUUUGAUUACAACUACAAUCUUCUGAGACUUGAAGAGGUGUUUCUGACUAGUAGGUUUACUCUACCCUGUUUACUGUUGCUGUAUUAUGCUUUAGAGUCUGUAUUUUCAUUUCUGUAUAACCACAUCUUGACUUUGUACAGAAAUAACGUGUCUUAAAAUUUUCAUGUCGUAGAUGGAAUCAUUUCCCUUUGAUGAGUAUUUAAGGAAUACAGCUGUCCUAGAUAUGUCUUAAGUAGGAAACUCUGGUUCCUUGUUUGGAGGAAAGACAAUGCAGCCGCUGCCAAUUUAAGAGAUCCUAAUGUCAGGCAAGAAGGAGUUAAUGUGGACUUAAAUGUAUCUGAAAGCAAACACACUUAAUGAUAAUGACAAGUACUUAUGUAAAUGAACUGCUAAUACUCAUCCAGCCAGAGGUGAUUAAGUCUUCUAGGCCAACUGGAGAUUUCACCCAGCAGGGGCUAUUUGGAAGCUGGAUUUCAAUGAGAGCUGAGACUGAGCCCCAUCUUCCCCCAGAAGAGGGGACCAUGUAUUCCUGCUGUACUGUGGAUACAUUAAUGCAGCUUCAGAGCACAUGAAAUCCAAACUAAAGACUUAGAUAUCUAUUAUGAAGUCCUUUCCUGAGAAUCACUGAGCAGUCAUGCCUUUUUUUUUUUUUUUUUUUUUUUUUUAACUGUUAUUACUAAAAAUUUUAAAAAGAUUAGAUUCAGCUAUCACUGGUUUAUAAGAACAUACUGACAUCAGCUAAGCUUCUGGGAAAAGGAUAUUGGAAGGCCUAUGUCCUUGGGAGAUGUCAUUGGCAACAGUUCAGGCACACCUGAGGUGUGUUUUUUUAAUAACUGGUCUCACAGAGAGGUGUUCUCAAGUCAAGUGUUUCUUUGAUUGUCACGAUCACAUUCUCAUUCUGAUCUCAUUGUGAGGCAUCAAACAGUCCUUUUCUAAAUGUGUUCUGCAACAGCCAUAUAUAUUCUGUGUGUAACCUGGGAGUCUGCCUUUACGUUCUUAAGCUAUGUUUCAAAUAUAUUGUUGUCAAAGACUGGGGAGACCUCAACAUUUUCACUUUUUGCCCAGGAAUUUUUCUAAGGAUUGGAUAUAAGUUUUGCCAGGCUUUAGGAGGCCUUGAUUUAAGAAUGUUUUGAGUUUCUUUGUCUAAAAACUUGAAGAAAUUUUAAGCUAUGCACAUACUUCUCACUUCUGAAAAGCAAAACUGUCCUACCCAAGAAUAGCAAAAGAUUGAAGAGAUUUCUGAAGCUAUGCCCAAUCUACUUGAUUUUGAGAAGUGACUGAAAGGCAGGGCUACACCUUGAAAGCAACUUUUAUUUUAGUAAGGAGUUGCUGAAAGAUUUUGCACAACAACUUAUAUAAUCAUUUUCUGUUGGAAUACAAGAUGUGAUACAUUACAAAUCUGAGGCAUCAACAGACAAAAUGUACUCCUGCACUUAUAAACACCUGCAUUUAAUGGAAACAUCCAGUCCUCUUAUUAUGUAUUUAAAUGUAUGACAUCCUUUUCAGUAUAUGCUUGAUGUUGCUUUCUGACCCUGACAUCAGCUCCUGGAAAAACUGAAUAGGAAAUUUAAUCCUUGAUAUUGUUCUAUUUGCUUAAAUGUGGUUUGUAUACACCUGAAUAACCUUUUUCUUUACACUGCUGUGGUUGUAAGGAUUUAGGACAAAUAGAUUACUGUCUUCUAUUUUGCCAUCUGGAGUUGUGAGAGUAGCAGCCCUUUUCCUCAAAACUAAUCCUUUGACUUUGGUGAUAUGCAAAAAAUAGAUUUCAGAAAAAGAUGUUCACGGUUUAUACAUUGACUACAAAAAAUUAGCUGACUAUAUCUGGACAAAAUUAUUUUUUUUUAUAUACUUAUGAUGCACAUUUUCAGUUAUCUUAUUUUUCUGCUUGGUUCUAAAAAGUCCCAAUAAAUAAAGAGCAAGCAAAUGUAUGUAUGAGGUA
rnacentral:lncRNA from 1 species